CACGUAGUUAGCCGGGGCUUCUUACUCAGGUACCGUCAUUUUCUUCCCUGCUGAUAGAGCUUUACGUAACGAAUUACUUCUUCACUCACGCGGCGUCGCUGCAUCAGGGUUUCCCCCAUUGUGCAAUAUUCCCCACUGCCGCCUCCCGUAGGAGUCUGGGCCGUGUCUCAGUCCCAAUGUGGCCGUCCGCCCUCUCAGGCCGGCUACUGAUCGUCGCCUUGGUGGGCCGUUACCCCGCCAACAAGCUAAUCAGACGCGGGUCCAUCUUACACCACCGGAGUUUUUCACACCGCUUCAUGCGAAGCUGUGCGCUUAUGCGGUUUUAGCACCUAUUUCUAAGUGUUAUCCCCCUGUGUAAGGCAGGUUGCCCACGCGUUACUCACCCGUCCGCCACUAACCCAUAUAUCACUAGGUUUCAAUAUGGGUCCGUUCGACUUGCAUGUGUUAAGCACGCCGCCAGCGUUCAUCCUGAGCCAGGAUCAAACUCU
rnacentral:rRNA from 1 species